CCCGGGUCUUGUACACACCGCCCGUCACACCACGAAAGUCAGCAACACCCGAAGCCGGUGGCCUAACCCGCAAGGGAGGGAGCCGUCGAAGGUGGGGCUGGCGAUUGGGGUG
rnacentral:rRNA from 1 species